rnacentral:rRNA from 1 species
AUGAACGCUGGCCGCGUGCCUAAUACCUGCCAGUCGAGCGAACGGACGAGAAGCUUGCUUCUCUGAUGUUAGCGGCGGACGGGUGAGUAACACGUGGAUAACCUACCUAUAAGACUGGGAUAACUUCGGGAAACCGGAGCUAAUACCGGAUAAUAUUUUGAACCGCAUGGUUCAAAAGUGAAAGACGGUCUUGCUGUCACUUAUAGAUGGAUCCGCGCUGCAUUAGCUAGUUGGUAAGGUAACGGCUUACCAAGGCAACGAUGCAUAGCCGACCUGAGAGGGUGAUCGGCCACACUGGAACUGAGACACGGUCCAGACUCCUACGGGAGGCAGCAGUAGGGAAUCUUCCGCAAUGGGCGAAAGCCUGACGGAGCAACGCCGCGUGAGUGAUGAAGGUCUUCGGAUCGUAAAACUCUGUUAUUAGGGAAGAACAUAUGUGUAAGUAACUGUGCACAUCUUGACGGUACCUAAUCAGAAAGCCACGGCUAACUACGUG